GACAGAGGAUGCAAGCGUUAUCCGGAAUGAUUGGGCGUAAAGCGUCUGUAGGUGGCUUUUAAGUCCGCCGUCAAAUCCCAGGGCUCAACCCUGGACAGGCGGUGGAAACUACCAAGCUGGAGUACGGUAGGGGCAGAGGGAAUUUCCGGUGGAGCGGUGAAAUGCGUAGAGAUCGGAAAGAACACCCGUGGCGAAGGCGGCUCUCUGGGACGGUACUGACGCUGAGACGCGAAAGCGUGGGGAGCGAACAGG
rnacentral:rRNA from 1 species